GGUCAAGGUGCUCUUGAUGGAGAGAGUGGGAGGUCCUAAGAAAGGUCUGGCUAUGGUGGGCCUCGCGGUCCUUAUCGUGGGGGACGUGGAGGUUUUGGUGAUGGGGAAGCUGGUGAAGAUGGGCAACCACGACGAGUCUAUGAACGUCGCAGUGGGAGAGGGAACUGGGGACUACCAACUGAUGAACUUGCCCAGGCAACUGAUGAUGUAAAUGAAACUGCUAAGAAUUUUGGCGAAGAAAAGCCUUCUGGUGAUAAUAAUGAUGUUGCUGCUGAUGGAAACAAGGAGAAUCCUGCUAAUGAGGAUGAAGAAAAAGAGCCUGAGGAUAAGCAUGAACGAGUUUCUGAAGAGAAAGCUUCUAUAGAGCACGUGGACGUGGACGUGGUCGAGGAAGAGGUGGUCAUGGUGGGUAUCCAAAAGCCAACGUUCCAGGUC